GACGAACGCUGGCGGCGUGCCUAAUACAUGCAAGUAGAACGCUGAAGGAGGAGCUUGCUUCUCUGGAUGAGUUGCGAACGGGUGAGUAACGCGUAGGUAACCUGCCUGGUAGCGGGGGAUAACUAUUGGAAACGAUAGCUAAUACCGCAUAAGAGUAGAUGUUGCAUGACAUUUGCUUAAAAGGUGCAAUUGCAUCACUACCAGAUGGACCUGCGUUGUAUUAGCUAGUUGGUGGGGUAACGGCUCACCAAGGCGACGAUACAUAGCCGACCUGAGAGGGGGAUCGGCCACACUGGGACUGAGACACGGCCCAGACUCCUACGGGAGGCAGCAGUAGGGAAUCUUCGGCAAUGGACGGAAGUCUGACCGAGCAACGCCGCGGGAGUGAAGAAGGGUUUCGGAUCGUAAAGCUCUGUUGUAAGAGAAGAACGAGUGUGAGAGUGGAAAGUUCACACUGUGACGGUAUCUUACCAGAAAGGGACGGCUAACUACGUG
rnacentral:rRNA from 1 species